CGCAGGCGCUCUAUGGCGAACUCCCGCGGACAGGCACAGGCGCAGGUGCAGGCGCUGAGCGGCGUGCCUUACUGAACCACCCCAGUGACAAAAUGUUGAAAUAAUAGUUUUUUAGUAUUCUUAAGCAUCAUUUUCUGCAUCUGCACCCCACACAUCUCUAUUUGUGAAAUGAACAAAAGGCCCUAACUUCUGCUAAAAGAAUUUCUACUAAAACAGAUCCUUCAGUGGGGGAAUAUGUGGAAAGAGGAAGGUUUCUUGGUGUCCUCAGUAUAACAGAAGGUAUAAGAAUGGCAGUGGAAUUAUCAGAAGGACCUUUGAUAAUGCUGCUUCCUGCCUGUUCAAAACAAGAGUGCUCAUACAGCAGGAAAUUCAGGCCUUGUCUACUUGUUUACCACUGCAACUCUAAAACCUAGCUCAGCAUCUGACAAGAAGUGCUCAUCAAAUACUUGUGGAAUGAAGAGUGUGGUGAUUUUCCUUUAUUAAAAAUUAUCAAAUGUAUUGAUAUUGUCACAGUUAUAUUCCUAGUUUUUGUAACAUAUACUUAUAGAAACCUAUACAUAUUUACUGUGAAGAGUUAUAUUGCCUGUCUAGAUUGUAAUGUGAAUCUGGAUUGUUUAGAAUCACAGUGAUUAGAAAAGAAAAUAAUCUAAUUCUCUUUUCCAACUGCUCUCUCAGUGUCUCUUACACCAGCAUUCAUUCUUUCUGUAAUUGUCCCCUUCAGGAAGCUGGUCCAUCAUUAUGGUAAACCUCUAAACCCCUGAACCCAAAACUAUCCUUUGGCUUUUCUACCCUUAAAUUCACCAUGGUGUUGCCUGGCCCAUAGUAAUUCCUAAUUAGCCAUGCUUUAUUUUUUACUGGUUGUGUUCUUGAUGAUGUCCAAUCCACUUUAGGUCUUUUAAAUGGUAACUCUGCCAAACAACUAGAUGUAGGGGGUUGAAUGUGCUAUGUUACUCAGGGAUUCUAGCUAAAAAUUAACAUAAGAUAUGGGUUUUAAAACAUAUUUCCUCUAAUCUAAAAAGGACUAAGCAUCAAGUUGUUCUCUAUCUCCACCCAGCAGAGUUUAGAGGAACUCAAUAGUUGUAGUCUAUAAAACAGUUCCAGAAAGCUUCUGUGUAUCUAUUAUUUCAGAAUUCACAAGUGGAUCUAGAUCCCAAUCACCCCUAACAAAAUCUGCCUCAUCUAAUAGGGAAACUCCAAAAUACAGUGCAUUCUUCUUAUUAGCAUAAUAGAGAUAAAAUUAUUAAUUGUAUGGGGUAGUCCUAAUUACUGAUUUGUGAACAUUCGUGGUCUCUCUCUUCUUGAACAUACACCUACACAUAAGAGAAAGAUUUUUUUUUUUUUUGGUCCCUUGGGGCUAUCAUUUGGUCUCCUAAAUUCAAGUGUGGGUCUAAACAGAUACACAAGGUAAAACAAAUGAAACCAGAAAAGCUAUGUGAAGCUACAUAAUAAAAAGCUACAGAAGAAAGAAAGAGAGAAGGUGGGAAGAAAGGCAUAUGAGGAAGCUGUCAGGGGGUUUUGGGGGGCAGGGAGCUCAGAGGGGAGAAGAAUUAGAGUAUCUGGGAAUAGCUACUGUGUUAGAGAAUAUUAAGAGGAAUGAUGAUGGGCUAAGAAGGUUGUUUAUUGAGAUGUGUUGUUUAUUAAGAAAGCACUCCCUCCCUUUGGCAUUUCCUGUCAGAAGACCUGCAGUACUGGCCACUGAAUGUGUAUCUUGUCUGGGUCGGCCGGAGUGCCAGAUGACCCAGUCUAACCCGAAUAAAGGUUGUAUUCAUGUUAUGUUAGUUUGCCUUUUGACUUUGUAGAGGAGUUCUUCUUUAAGCCGGGCAUCUUUUUCUGUUCUGGAUCUUGUUCUUUAGUACUUUGCAUUCUUCUUCCUUCUCUCUCUGGCUCCUGGUGUACAGCCUUCUCUUGCUUCUGUACUGUGGACCUAUGCAGAGUGUGCACAAAGGGAAUUGUAACCCUCAGAGUACAGAAGCUUCACAUCCUAGAGUACUGGUUGAUGCUCUCUAUUUUCAACUCUUAGAAUUCUAAAGAGAUUUAGCAGCAAAGUGUGACUCCUAAAGAUUAUUUUAUUCUUGUACAGUAUUUGUACUUUCUUAGACACUUUGCCAGAUAAUCCCAUCUACUUCUUAUCAUGUCUCUUGUUUUUAGUUAAAAUAAUUAUGUUUCAACUACAUUUCAUAAAUGAGCCCUUUACUGCCCAGAAUUCUAUACCCAUCAUGUUGGUAGAUAAUCCAAAUUUCUGAUUUUCCUUAAAUAUGGGCAUACAUUUACUUGUUUCAUACUGAACCUAGCACUGAGUUGAAUUUUCCAGUAGAAAUGAAAUUUCAUAAUUGUGAUAAAUGUGGAGAUGUAGCACCAGGAGCCCUUCAAGGAACAACAUGUUGCCUCACCUGCUGACAAUGAUGUCCACAAAUGGCCUGUGGCUGUAGGCUUCUUCAAGGAUUGUCUCAGCUGCAAAAGCCAUUUUGCCCAAAUGGUAUCCAUCCAGGCAUGUUCUUCUAGUGACUAACAGAGGAGAGGAUAAAAAGGCUGACCAAUUUUACUCAACAUGGUUAACUCUGAUGGGCCUGAUUUCAGCUUCAGCACUUCCCAUGGAGUUCACUGAGAACUUCAUUGGAAAUGCAUUACAGCCCAGCUUCUCCCUUUGCUCAAUCCUGUUUCCUUUCCCAUCAGCCUACAGGUGUUGAUCCUAAAAGCACUCCCUAACAAACAUCCUGCCCCCAAAA